rnacentral:lncRNA from 1 species
UAUUUUUUCAGAAACUGAAAAAACAUGUUUUUAUUUUUAGUUCUACUUGACAAGAGAUGACAUUGCCUUUGAAGAAGAGAAUGGACAUCUUUCUAAAGCACCAAAUUCUUACUGUGGAUGAAGUCAGCUCCUCAUUGGUCAAUUUAUAUAAAGUGUACAUCUGUAACACUUUGUACAAAGGUCACAAGGACAACCCCUGCGACUCACUCAUAGAGAAAUCCUGUGCUUGGGGUUUGUCAACGGGACGAGGGUAAGUGAAAGCACAAAAAUGAAAGGGGUUAUGGCUAUUAGGAGGAACAGGGGAAAGGGUUAAAGGCAGAACUGGCAGUUUAAGAAACACUUCUCAUUCAAAGUUCAUCAUCAUUUACUGAUAUCAUUUGGGGUCUGAUUCCUCCUGAUGGGUGAAUAGUGAGAGGGAAACAUCAGCUUUUAGACUAUUUCCAAUUCAAAUGGAAGCAAAAAGAACUACAAGUUGCAAGAAAUAGAGAAAAACUCCCCCCUUGAUGUUGAUUCUAGACCUCAUUGUUUCAACUGUAAGUUACAUCAUGUUAUUUCAUAAGUUACAAAAAGGUUUCCUAUGUGUUAUUUGAUGCCAUCAGAAACAAUCCAACACAGAGGGCAACCUUCUUCACGCUAGAUUUCGCCUUAAUUUUUAGCUAUAUGAACAUGAAAAAAGGCAUCUGCCCAAGAAAUUCUGGAAAUAAUUUUGUGUGGAGGGGAAAGAGGGUCAAAACCAAAUGUAUUAAUAAAUGUCCUUAACUUUAUUUGCCAAAUGCACUGGUUAAAUAUGUAGGGGGAGAACAUAGGCUUUGAAGCCAUGCAGAUUUAAAAUCUAAUCUUGCUUCUAUCAGCUCUUCGCAAGUGAGCAAGUCACUCAACUUCUGAGCCUCUGUGUUUUCAUUUCUAAGCUAGAUAUAGAGGUAUCACUCUCUCAAACAGUAGUUAUGAGAAUCAAAUGAAAAAGCUUAUGUGAAGGGCCUUGCAUGGUUCCUUUAGUGGAUAAUCAACAAACAUUGGCUCCUUCCAUUGAUUUCUGGCUGUCAUCAUACCCAAAACUAUCGUUGACUUCCAGUUGUGGAAUCUCCUUCAUAGUUAUCUAGAGUAUCCUCCUUUUUAUAAAGUCAUGUAUGUCCCCUUAAUCUAAAUAAUCUACUUAGCUAAUUAUCUUAAAACAAAUUAGCUAUUGACUAAUAAAAUAUUAUAUGAAUAUAAAAUAUUGAUUAAUAAUAUGUUACAAAUAUAAAAAUAUUUAAAAUAAAAUCUUUUGUAAAUCUAAACCCAAACCCCCUUCUUAUCAUU